rnacentral:rRNA from 1 species
AUUGAACGCUGGCGGCAUGCUUUACACAUGCAAGUCGAACGGUAACAGCACUUCGGUGGCUGACGAGUGGCGAACGGGUGAGUAAUACAUCGGAACGUGCCUAGUAGUGGGGGAUAACUACUCGAAAGAGUAGCUAAUACCGCAUGAGAUCUAAGGAUGAAAGCAGGGGACCUUCGGGCCUUGCGCUACUAGAGCGGCUGAUGGCAGAUUAGGUAGUUGGUGGGAUAAAAGCUUACCAAGCCGACGAUCUGUAGCUGGUCUGAGAGGACGACCAGCCACACUGGGACUGAGACACGGCCCAGACUCCUACGGGAGGCAGCAGUGGGGAAUUUUGGACAAUGGGCGCAAGCCUGAUCCAGCAAUGCCGCGUGCAGGAUGAAGGCCUUCGGGUUGUAAACUGCUUUUGUACGGAACGAAAAGCCCUCUUCUAAUUCAGGAGGGUCAUGACGGUACCGUAAGAAUAAGCACCGGCUAACUACGUG